CCUACGGGAGGCAGCAGUGAGGAAUAUUGGUCAAUGGACGCAAGUCUGAACCAGCCAUGCCGCGUGCAGGAAGACGGCUCUAUGAGUUGUAAACUGCUUUUGUACGGGGGUAAAGGCAGAUACGUGUAUCUGUCUGCGAGUAUCGUACGAAUAAGGAUCGGCUAACUCCGUGCCAGCAGCCGCGGUAAUACGGAGGAUGCGAGCGUUAUCCGGAUUUAUUGGGUUUAAAGGGUGCGUAGGCGGACUGUCAAGUCAGCGGUAAAAGUCCGGGGCUCAACCCCGGCGAGCCGUUGAAACUGGCGUUCUUGAGACGGCGAGAGGUAUGCGGAAUGCGCAGUGUAGCGGUGAAAUGCUUAGAUAUUGCGCAGAACUCCGAUUGCGAAGGCAGCAUACCGGCGGCGAUCUGACGCUGAGGCACGAAAGCGUGGGUAUCGAACAGGAUUAGAUACCCCUGUAGUC
rnacentral:rRNA from 1 species